GGAAACAUUGCAGCGUUAUAAGAGAAAUUAUAGACUAUUUGUUGAAGCUCAGCAUGUCCAUCUCCCUGCUUUGAAGAAGGAUGUUGGGAACUGACUGUAAGGAAGACAGGAUUGGAGAACCAGGUUUAGAAGAGAAAAGGCAGUGCCAGAAGUUUUUGAUUGGAGAAAACUACAGGGUAAUGUUGCACAAGAACCAUUGCUGGACUGCAUCAUUGCUUACCCAACAUGACUCAGCCUCGGUAUUGCCACUGACUCACGGAGCUCCUAAUAGAGGAGAAUUAGUGUCACAGAUCGACUGGAAAACCAAUCCACAUGAAGCCAGGAAGAGAAAUGAAGCUGCUGUUGCUGAAUCCAUAGCUGGCCUUAAUGAUGCUGGCUAGGAAAGACGGCCCAUUCUGGGGGAGAUAAGUCAAUUUUGCAGUGUCUGUUAUUAUCAUAGUGACUAUUGUCUUCCUGUUUUAUAUUUAUUUACCUAAAUUGUUUUGGAAAGACUCAGAGGUAUAGAGACAUGCCUACUUUUUGCAAAAAUCAUCACACUGUCAUGGAGGUAGUCCAGGCUAUGGGGCUCUUAUUUGUUGGUGUCUUGGGCAAGUUGCUUGACCUCUGAUCAUUGUUUGCUUAUUCUUAUAUGGCCCCUGUAUUUCAGACUCACUCUGUGUCAGGCAUUUGUUUACCUUUGUAGCAAGCUCAGGAGGAAAAUACCAUUGCCCUUGUUUUACAGGUGAUGAAACUGUACGUUUUCCAAGGACACAGUGCUAGUAAGUAAUGAAUGUGAAAUUUUAACUGUUUCAAUCUCUUCUCAGAGCCAGUGCUAACUACUCUCCUAAACUUCCUCU
rnacentral:lncRNA from 1 species